rnacentral:misc_RNA from 1 species
GGGGUGUGGGAUGUUCUGCGAUGUUGGUUCUUGCUUACGCGAGGGCAUGUGAGUGGUACCGUGGAUGUUUGUGUUUGCUGGCUCAAUGCUUUGGCGUUGAACGGUUUGCAUAUGAUCCUGAUCAUUUUUCGUUGUUGNCUUCGUGUCUUCGAUGUUUGUCCGUUGUUCCUGUUCGGUUUACCUCUAAGUUGGUACGCUAGUGGCUUGUUAGACUUUGAACCAUCCCACACCAUUGCUUGGUGUUGCGGUGGCUUUUGCAUUUACACGUAUGCUCCGCUUAGAUCUCCUACGUGGUGUCUUUUUGCGGUGCGCAUGUAUUCAUUGAUUUCUCGGACGCGGUGCUUGAGAUGACCUUUGGAUUUUCCAUUUGUGUCCCUAAUUAAUUAAUGGUUGCCUUAAAUUAUGCCUGCUCUAUCGGUUGUUUUGCUCCCCUUUCGUGGGCUCAAAACUUUCAUGAUGUUGCAGAGUCAUUAAUGGAUG